GAUGAACGCUGGCGGCGUGCCUAAUACAUGCAAGUCGAGCGAACGGACGAGAAGCUUGCUUUUCUGAUGUUAGCGGCGGACGGGUGAGUAACACGUGGAUAACCUACCUAUAAGACUGGGAUAACUUCGGGAAACCGGAGCUAAUACCGGAUAAUAUUUUGAACCGCAUGGUUCAAAAGUGAAAGACGGUCUUACUGUCACUUAUAGAUGGAUCCGCGCUGCAUUAGCUAGUUGGUAAGGUAACGGCUUACCAAGGCAACGAUGCAUAGCCGACCUGAGAGGGUGAUCGGCCACACUGGAACUGAGACACGGUCCAGACUCCUACGGGAGGCAGCAGUAGGGAAUCUUCCGCAAUGGGCGAAAGCCUGACGGAGCAACGCCGCGUGAGUGAUGAAGGUCUUCGGAUCGUAAAACUCUGUUAUUAGGGAAGAACAUAUGUGUAAGUAACUGUGCACAUCUUGACGGUACCUAAUCAGAAAGCCACGGCUAACUACGUG
rnacentral:rRNA from 1 species